rnacentral:lncRNA from 1 species
UGUAAAUUUGUAAACGAAAAGAGGAUGGGGGCGAAGCAUCCCUUCUUUCUCUUAAAAAACACACACACACACCCCUUUCUCUUUGUCUCUUUCACUGUUUUCAACAUCCGCCAGAAUAUUUACCCACCCUCACUCGAAGGUCUGGAUUUUGACGGUGUUGGGGAAGUAGCCGGAGAAGUUUGCAGGCGAGGGCUGCCUAAGCACACACUCGCCUCGCCCCCCACCCACCCCUCUUUCAAGCAAAACACAUGUCACACAUGUGUUCUUUCGCCUCCUUUUGAAAAAGCACCCGCUCGGCCUCCCUCUCGCUCGCUCUGCCAACCUGAGCGCAAAAAAAGGGGGGGGAUCCCCUUUCCUUCCCCGGCGAGCGAGACCCUCGAAUCGCGCGCGGGGGGGGGCGGCCCACGUGAGGCAGGCGAAAAAGAACCCCCCCCCCACGACCCGCCUCCCGCGAUUGGCUGGCCCGGCUCGGCCCGGGAAAUUUCUCCCGGAGACCCAUUGGCUGAAGAGCCCCCCGCCGGGCUCCUUCCCUGCCCAUUUUGUUAAUCCUCUGCCUCGCCUCGCCUCGCCCAGCUGCUUGGUGGGGACGAGCUCAUUUGUCACCGAAGCGCCCCGCGUCCAGGCAGGUCGGGAUGGCAAGCGAUCCCCCGGCCCGGUGCCAGCUGCCCCCGCCUGCUUAGAGCCCCGGCGGGGAAGCUCUCUCUCCUUCGGUGCUUUGCCUCCUUCCACGGCUCGGAACAGCGAGCCGCGGAGCCAAGCAGGGGCCGCCCGGCCGCCCAAUUCCCGGUGGGGCAAGGAAGUGCCAGCCCUUGGAGCCCAGCAGUCGCUCCUGCUUGCGCGCAACUUUUCUGCGGGGGAGGGGGGACGGGACGGGCGGCGCGUCCCUGGCUUCUCCCGCGCCCUGGUGGGGCAUGUGGACAUGGCCACCGGGGACAGGAGCCCGGGGGUCUCCGUCUUCUUCGGGUGCCGGCGGCGCGUCGGGCUCCUGCUGCUCGCCGCCACCGCCGGCCUCUGCAGCGGGGUCUGGGCCGUCAAGAAUCCUAGCUGCCACGAAGUGAGGACGGCGUUUCAGAUCCGGCAGAUCGGGCCCCUCAAGCUGGUCCCCGAUGUGCCCACCACCGUUCCUUCUCAUGUAGGUAAAGAAGAUCAGGAACAAGAAUGUAUGGCUCACCAAGUGUUGCAGGAUAGUACCCCAUGUAGGGGGUGUUACAGUAAUCAAUCUUGGAGAUCACCAACGCAUGUACGAAUAUUGUUA